rnacentral:tRNA from 1 species
GGGCACAUGGUGUAGCUGGUUAUCACGCUCGCUUUGCAUUAUAAGUUCAAUGAUUGCGAGUGGUCUCCGGUUCGAUUCCGGAUGUGUCCA